rnacentral:tRNA from 2 species
GUGUGUGUAGCUCAGCUGGAUAGAGCACUAGUCUACGGAACUAGGUGUCGGGGGUUCGAAUCCCUUCACGCACG